CCGAGUAAAUGGGGUACUGUAUACCCGUGCAACACCAAGUAUUCCAUGAUAGUACUGCAGACUCAAUAACACAUCGAUCGAAAUUGCGAUAUUGCGAAACAGAAAAACGUGGUCGAAUAAGUUGAUGAAAACACAGGAAAAUUGUUAAAGAAUGAUUUUAACCAUCUUCAUACUAUAAAUGGCUGAAUCCACAUCAUCUAGUGUAGUUGAUCCUUCCAUAAACAGUGACAAGACUCCUGUAAUCAAGCCACAAACCAAGGCUGAAACAACAGUACACCGUCCUGGAGAAGCUGCCAUAAAACAACAGUA